GUUGACGGACAGGAAAAUUAAUUGGAACUUGGAUGUUUAAUAAGGACUUUAUGACACCAGUAUCGGUGCCGGCUGGGGAGCAAUUCUGGUUGCUGGGUAUGAUUGAAAAGCCGGCAAAGUUUUGCAAAAUGACAUCAACAAGUUUGUGGAAGUUAUAACAUCGAAAGUAAUGCCAGCAAUGUGUAUGAAUCCAGACAAUGUAAUAAUACUUGCCGAAGACGUGCAUGGCAUUACAGCUGAUAAACUGGAUGGGGCAUUUGAUGAUCUUUCCACAAAGGAUAUUCGAACAUUAUUGUUUGUUUACUCUGGACACCACGGUGAUUAUGGAUUUCAACUGGGCCCCAGGGUUACGAUUUGAAUAAAGUUAGCGAGAGAAUCAAUAAAUGGAACGAAGGGAAACCAAAGUUUGGGAAAGCGAUUGAAUUUCUUGACUGCUGUGUUCCUGACAAAUUGAAUUUGAAGAAUUCUCUCAAGCUUAUUCAGUUCAAUGCUACUUCUCCAACAAUGACUGAAGAUUUGGAUACAACAAAGGGCAGUCUCUUUUUGAUGUACGUUA